UGCCAGCCGCCGCGGUAAUACGGAGGGUGCAAGCGUUGUUCGGAAUUAUUGGGCGUAAAGCGCGUGUAGGUGGUUCGUUAAGUCUGAUGUGAAAUCCCAGGGCUCAACCCUGGAACUGCCUCAUAAACUAUCAGUCUAGAGUUCGAGAGAGGUGAGUGGAAUUCCGAGUGUAGAGGUGAAAUUCGUAGAUAUUCGGAGGAACACCAGUGGCGAAGGCGGCUUUCUGGACCGAUACUGACGCUGAGACGCGAAAGCGUGGGGAGCAAACAGGAUUAGCUA
rnacentral:rRNA from 1 species